CACACAGACGUACACAAUGUAAAAUUUUAAUUUUUUAAAUUUCACAUUUUUUCCACAAUAAAGAACUCUUCAUAUGGAGAAAAAGGAAAGAAUGAGAAAGUAGUCACAUGUGAAGCUCCAUAAAAACAUAACCAGCAUGUUAUUUUUUUUUGUUCACGUUUCUGUGCUUAGAUUUUUUUUAUAUAAUUGCUGUGAUUUUUUUUUGCAAAUUCCAUUAUAGCAUAAACAUUCUGCAUGCUAAUACCAACAUUUUUAUCAAUAGACUGACACGGCUGUAGAGUGUUCCACUGAGUAGCUGUGCCACAAUUUGCUGUAUCAUUUCCAUACUGUUUUACAUUUUUAAAAUAUUUAAAAAUACUGUGCUGAACAUCUUUAUACAUUUUUAAAAGGACAAUUUCCUUAGGAUAAUUUCCUGAAUUUAGAAUUAGGAUAAUCUAGUAAAAGCUAGGAUAAUUUUAAAGGAAUUACUAGGUCAAAAUAAUAUGAACACUGAAACCUUCGUUACCCAUAUUGUCCAUUUGACUUCCCAAGGGUCACUCUGAUCAUCAGCCAGCAUUGUGCAUCAGGCACUCCCACCAACACUGAGAACUUCUGCUGAUUUUUAAGGUAAAAAAUGGUAGAAUAUUUUAAAUUAUGUUCAUUGACUUGAUAAUUAACACGGUUGAGUGUGCGUGUUAAUUCAUUUUUUUCUCCUAUGAAUGGUUCAUAUUUAACCACAUAUUGUCCAUUUUAAACCACAUAUUGUUUUGGUAUCGAUCAGUUUUUUGAUUUAUAGACAAACUUGAUAUAUCAAAGAUGUUAACCUUUUAUCCACAAUUCAAAUAACUUCUAUUAGUUGCUUUCUAAUUCUCCUUUUUAGCAUGCCAAAGAUUUUUAUUUUUAGGUAGUCAAAUCUAUUUAAAAUUUUUUUUGUGAUUUCCUCCAUCUGUUUUAUAGAUUCUAUAAGUCCUCUCUUUACCAGCAAUUAGAUGAAUAUUUGCUAUUUUCUUCCAGUUGUAUUUGUUUUUUUCUCUCUUCCCAAAUCCAGUCGGAAUUGAGUUUGGUGUAUAGUGUGAGGUAAGGAUGUCACUUUAUUAGCUCUUCUAAAACCACUUUUUGAACAAUACAUAUUCCUAAAAUAAUUUGCUCUUCAACUAUUGACUUGUGAGUAAAACAGGUCUGUUCCAGGCUAUCUAUUCACUUCAUCGAUUUGCCUCCUUCUUGCACUGAUACUACUCUCUUUUACUUUUUGUGUAUUUAUGUUUUAAUAUCUGGUAGGGCAUUUUCCCCUUAUUUCUCUCUUUUUAAAGAAAUGUAUUUGAUUUCUCAUUUAUUUGCUUUAAAUGAACUUUAUAAUGAUUUUUAUCAUGUUCCAAAAUCAUCUGCUUUGAUAUUUUGACUAAAACUUUAAUUUCAUAAUUAGCUUUUUGACCAAAAAAAGAGCCUAUUUUAAUUUUUGUGUCUGGUUGUAGUUUUCUGAUGUUAAUAAAUAUUACCUCAAAAAUUGUAAAGAACUAUAGUUCCUCCAUCUCCUAAGGAACACAAAGUAUUUUUUAUUGACAUAAUUUAGGUGAAAUUUCAAAGGUUCUUAUGAGGAGAAUUGGGCAAAGAUAUUUUCCAUAUAUUUUAGGUGAGAAGGCUGAAGCAGAGGUUAUUAUACAGCUAAUUCAAGACAGACUGGAAUACAUUAUUAGAUCUCUUAAUUCUACUACCUACAGAUUGCCUGGUGCAUAUAUUAUUCCUCUCUGUUUGGUGGUCUGCCCCCAAGGCAAAACAAAAUAAGCGAAAUCAUGGAUGAAACUGGCAGCAGGGCUUAAAGAAUUCCAGCGAUAUGUUUUCUGCUUGUCUAGAUAGACAGCUAGGGAGAUAGAUUGCAGUAUCCUUUGAGAGAACCACUAUAUAGACUGAAAAUAGGUGUUUAUUUUCUUACUUUAGAGUUCAAGGGAGCAAGAAGUCAUGCUGAUUAUAGAACGUGGAUAAUUUCAGGAAUUAUGUAAAACAGUAUGGAGAUUCCUCAAGAAAUUAAAAAUAGAACUAAAGAUCUAGAAAUCCCACUUCUGGGUAUACAUCCAAAAGAAAUAAAAUCAGUAUCUUGAAGAGGUAUCUGCACUCCCACGUCCGUUGAAGCAUUAUUCACAAUAGCCAAGAUAUGGAAACAACCUAAAUAUUGAUUGAUGGAUAAAUGGA